GGAACAGAGGGUGCAAACGGUUGCUCGGAAUCACUAGGCGUAAAAGCGCAGGUAGGCGGUUGGUAAGUCUUUUGUGAAGCUCCCGGCUCAACUGGGAGAGUCAAGGAACUACCAGGCUAGAGUGUGGCAGAGGAAGCUAGAAUUCCCGGUGUAGCGGUGAAAUGCGUAGAUAUACGGGAGGAAUACCUAUGGCGAAAGCAGGCUUCUGGGCCGUCACUGACGCUGAUCUGCGAAAGCUAGGGGAGCAA
rnacentral:rRNA from 1 species